rnacentral:rRNA from 1 species
UACGUAGGGUGCAAGCGUUAAUCGGAAUUACUGGGCGUAAAGCGUGCGCAGGCGGUUUUGUAAGUCUGUCGUGAAAUCCCCGGGCUUAACCUGGGAAUGGCGAUGGAGACUGCAAGGCUAGAGUUUGGCAGAGGGGGGUAGAAUUCCACGUGUAGCAGUGAAAUGCGUAGAUAUCAGGAGGAACACCGAUGGCGAAGGCAGGUCUCUGGGCUGACACUGACGCUCAUGCACGAAAGCGUGGGGAGCAAACAGG